rnacentral:tRNA from 1 species
UCGGCCCUGGGGCGCUCACCUGGGCUGCUCGGUUUGGCUGGGCUGGUCGCCGCCCGGCCGGGCCGCUCGGCGCGGUUGGGCUGAUC